AGGACGAACGCUGGCGGCGUGCCUAAUACAUGCAAGUGGAACGCAUGAUUGAUACUGUAACUUGCUACACCAUUAAUCAUGAGUCGCGAACGGGUGAGUAACGCGUAGGUAACCUGCCUACUAGCGGGGGAUAACUAUUGGAAACGAUAGCUAAUACCGCAUAAGAGUUUUUAACACAUGUUAGAAAUUUAAAAGGAGCAAAUGCUUCACUAGUAGAUGGACCUGCGUUGUAUUAGCUAGUUGGUAAGGUAACGGCUUACCAAGGCGACGAUACAUAGCCGACCUGAGAGGGUGAUCGGCCACACUGGGACUGAGACACGGCCCAGACUCCUACGGGAGGCAGCAGUAGGGAAUCUUCGGCAAUGGGGGGAACCCUGACCGAGCAACGCCGCGUGAGUGAAGAAGGUUUUCGGAUCGUAAAGCUCUGUUGUAAGAGAAGAACGUUGAGUAGAGUGGAAAGUUACUCAAGUGACGGUAUCUUACCAGAAAGGGACGGCUAACUACGUGCCAGCCGCUGC
rnacentral:rRNA from 1 species